UACGAAGGGGGCUAGCGUUGUUCGGAAUCACUGGGCGUAAAGCGCACGUAGGCGGACUUUUAAGUCAGGGGUGAAAGCCUGAGGCUCAACCUCAGAACUGCCCUUGAUACUGGGAGUCUUGAGUAUGGUAGAGGUUGGUGGAACAGCAAGUGUAGAGGUGAAAUUCGUAGAUAUUCGCAAGAACACCAGUGGCGAAGGCGGCUCACUGGCCCGAUACUGACGCUGAGGCACGAAAGCGUGGGGAGCAAACAGG
rnacentral:rRNA from 1 species